CGAAUUGGGCCGCCCUAUAAUGCAGUCGACGGUGUCUUCGGACAUAGUGGCGCACGGGUGCGUAACACGUAUGCAACCUACCUUACAUUGGGGGAUAGCCUUUCGAAAGGGAGAUUAAUACCGCAUAAGACAGUAGCUGGGCAUCCAGCAGCUGUUAAAGAUUUAUCGGUAAGAGAUGGGCAUGCGUCUGAUUAGCUAGUUGGGGGGGUAACGGCCCACCAAGGCGACGAUCAGUAGGGGUUCUGAGAGGAAGGUCCCCCACACUGGCACUGAGAUACGGGCCAGACUCCUACGGGAGGCAGCAGUAGGGAAUAUUGGGCAAUGGUCGCAAGACUGACCCAGCCAUGCCGCGUGCAGGAAGACGGCCCUCUGGGUUGUAAACUGCUUUUAUCUGGGAAGAAAAAGUCCAUGCGUGGAAAAUUGCCGGUACCAGAUGAAUAAGCACCGGCUAACUCCGUGCCAGCAGCCGCGGUAAUACGGAGGGUGCAAGCGUUGUCCGGAUUUAUUGGGUUUAAAGGGUGCGUAGGCGGCUGAAUAAGUCAGCGGUGAAAGACUUCGGCUUAACCGGAGCAGUGCCGUUGAUACUGUUUAGCUUGAGUGUUGGAGGGGUACAUGGAAUUGAUGGUGUAGCGGUGAAAUGCAUAGAUACCAUCAGGAACACCGAUAGCGAAGGCAUUGUACUGGCCAACAACUGACGCUGAGGCACGAAAGUGUGGGGAUCGAACAGGAUUAGAUACCCUGGUAGUCCACACUGUAAACGAUGAUUACUCGCUGUUAUGGUGAAUGCUGUAGCGGCCAAGCGAAAGCGUUAAGUAAUCCACCUGGGGAGUACGCCGGCAACGGUGAAACUCAAAGGAAUUGACGG
rnacentral:rRNA from 1 species